rnacentral:lncRNA from 13 species
UUACAUUUGUCUCACCCAAAUGACAAGCAACAGAUACAGAUCAAUAUUGUGGGUCAUACUCAUGUUUAGAGGAAGUGCUGCAAUAGGAUGCCUUAGAAAAUAUGUUUUAAAUGAUGGAACACAAAGUUACCUUCAUCGGGCAUCUGUAGCCUUUAACAUAUGGUUCUGACAGAGGUUGCUGUUCAAACUCAUUUCUCAAGCGGGUUCUGGUCAGAGCUGUGUGCUCUUCUUACCCUGAUGUUCUGUGUCUCCUCUCCUCCUUUCCUCUCCUCCUCCUCUCCACAGGCUGGCCUGCUUACCCUCCACCACCUGAGAGAGUGACCUAUAAAACCAGUAGCAAACCACGCGCUAGAUUCCUCAGGUCAACUCUGAAACGUCUCUGCCUUGGUAAAGAGCGUGGUAGGGGGACUGGAUCAGGCUCAGGUGCAUCCAACCAGCCAUCCCAGCAACAGACAGCCAGCUCCACCCCUCCUCCCCACCAGCCAAUAGCAGGGUUGGCCCAAGCCCAGGCCAACAACAGCAACAACAAGACAGGCACCUUCACUGGCACUUACCCUGGCGCCUACAUAGGCUCCUAUGCAGGGUCCUUCACAGACGACCUCCACAGACUGGUGGAUGACUGGGCCAUGGAGGCUCUGGCUGUCUCCUGGCGGCCGCGGCCCAGUUCCCUCAGCCUCAGUGGGCAGCCGCGUUGGAACGACGACCCCAUGGGGCCCAGAACCAGAGCCAGACUGGCCAGCGCUCCAGAUGUGAGUAGUUGUUGGAUACGGUAUGUAUCUGUAUUUAACUGUUUAUGUACUAUGCAUUAUUUAUUAGUAGGGGUGUAGCUAAAUGGGUUCAACUAGUGUUUGUUUUCUUAAAAAUUAUAUAUUGAUUUUUCUGCACUUGAUUGAUCAUUUCUGGCACAAUAGAACCAGGGUGGGAAAUUGACUUUUUGGUCCACCAGCCACUGUGGUAGGUAGAUCAAAAAAAUCUACUAGCCAAUCAGAUCUUUCAAAAGCCAAAAUAUUUUCCUUUACUUACACUCCAAAAAAGUUUCCUUUUCAUACGCAAAAAAAUCACUAAUAACUGAUUAUUUAUUUGACUAAGAAAUAUAUUACUAUAAAUAAGUAAUGUGGUAUAUUGCUCAAUUUAAUGAAAUGUGUGUGACCUGAAUCUUUUAUCCAAUGUACAGUAUGUUAAAAUAAAUUAUUUAGAUAAAAUAGUAAAAACAGAUUAACAGUUCUAUAACUGAGUAUUAAGCAUCAACAAAGUGCCUUCCCUACCACACAAUGCUGAGUCAUGCAGUUUAUUUGAUUGAUUGUUAUAAACUGGGUGGUUCGAGCCCUGAAUUCUGAUUGGCUGGCAGCAUUGGUAUUUCAGACUGUAUACCACAAGUACGACAAAGCAUGUAUUUUUGCUGCUCUAAUUACGUUGGUAACCAGUUUAUAAUAGUAAUAAGGCACCUCAGGGGUUUGUGGUAAAUGGCCAAUAUACCACACCCCCUCGGUCCAUAUUGCGUAAUUAUAGUCCAGGGCUCUAAACUGACAUUUGUUACACGGGGUACAUAAAUUGACAUUUAGAAGCACACAAAUAGGUGUAGGAGCACAAUAUAAUAAUUUGGGUGUUUUAGUGAUAAGAAUUAAUAAGAGUUUAUGAAUAAAAGUUGUUUUGAGUCUUCAAUACUCAGUUAAGCACAAUGUACCCCCAAAUAUUUGAGUCAUUAGGGGUGUGUUCAUAAAUUCACUCUGGAGUGUCCCUUAGUAAAUAAUGCGUUUCGUAGGGCCGGUCUUUGCUGUUCUGCCGCCAUAGGCAAGCCAAAAAAUAUCGCCCCUCCCCCCACAGAACUAGUAUAGUCCCAGUAAGCAAAAUUAUGUUGAAGAUACGUUUAAAAUAUGUAUUUUCCAGACUUUGAAGUUAGGUUCAAUUUAGGUUCUGAAUGAAAGGUGAAAAUGUAUUUUCCAGAUGUUGAAAUCAUGCACAUUUGUGGUUCUGAAUGAAAAUAGAAAAUAAGUCAUUUAUAGAUGUCUAUGUUUGGGUCAAAUCAAGGCUGGUCCAGACCAGACAAAAUCUGAACCAAACAUAGACUUCUGUGAUUGGUUCAGAUUUGGUCCGGACCAGAAACCAAUGUCCGUGGAUGUGGAAAUCAAGGCCUGUCUGGAUCUGCACCAAAACAAGACCAAAAGUCCAAAAGCUUCUGCGUCAGUCCGUGCUUACUGAGGUGUAGCCUACAGUGUUGCUUGAAAUGGAAUUUUAUGAGUGCCCAUCUAUGUGGUAAGCUUACCAUUUGUAAAACACCAAAACUCUACUUCCGGACAGGACCAAAAAAAGAUGUCCAAAAGACGUCAGCUCAUGCUUCCUGGGGUGUAGCCUAACAUGCCAUUGCAUUGACUUAGUUAGUCUUGAUUCCUGUGACUAAUCAGUUUGGCUAUUUAAGCUCUGAAUAUCAGCUACCCAACUUGCCUAUUUGCAAUGUGUUUACACAGUGGGAAAUUCAGAAGUAUUUUCUUUUUAAAUAUGAUCAGCUUGUCAAACAAUGUAUGGAUACAAACUUGAAACCACUGAUCAUGACAAUGCAACUCCUGGACAACAGUUGUGAUUGUUCAUUCCAUAUUGUCCAUUUUACUUUGACUUGUCCUGUUUUUAGGACAUGUUCUUUGUUGACAUGACAGCAUAUUUUCUAUUUGAUUGAGCGCCAUUCAGGUUAGGCUAUUAGUUUGGAGAAAACUUCAUGAUGUAAAAAGUGUCCUUCUCAUUACAUUGUAAUACAUUUUAUCUCCAGCCUGAAGGCUACAGAAAAGACCACAUAGUCUUUCUACCAUAUCCUAUAUCUUCUACAUGUUUUAUGUUAGAUUAUUUUUGACCCAAACUUUGGUGGAGCGCUGCAGAGAUGCUUCUCUCCAACAGCACCCUGGGAAUGGACAAGUAAAAUAUGUUGCACCCCUGCCUUUGACAAAGUGGACACUGCUUAUCAAAGGGUGUAGUCAGCGCUCACCUAAAGAGCCCAUAUUAAAAUCAUAUCAAAUCAACAUUUAUUGGUCACACACAUGUUUAGCAGAUGUUAUUGAGGGUGUUGUGAAAUGCCACUGGUUUGGGAAAAAUUGUCAUUGUUUUUGGGCAGAAUUAUGUGAGGUUUUAUGUGUUGUUGUUGGAGGUGUGCCUUGGUCACUUUAGCUCAGAAAAUGCCGCCUUCCUCAAUCUACCACUAUGGGCGGCUACCUAAUCCUGCCUAAUGAGUGGGCCGGCCAUGGCGUUUCGCUCUCGCGUUCAGAGCGCACACUGGACACUGGCCGAGGAGGAGUAGUGUUGAUCUGAGUGUUCUGACCUCACAACAUGAGUCAAGCACCCAAGCUAACUGGCUAAAGUUGGCUAGCUUGCUUUAUUAUUUCACCUUUAUUUAACCAGGUAGGCUAGUUGAGAACAAGUUCUCAUUUGCAACUGCGACCUGGCCAAAAUAAAUAAGAGAACACCUCACUCUGACCAUUUACUCACCCCAGCAGAGCUGGUUAGGCUGUUUUCAUGUUAUCUAGAGCGUUGGUGACUGUAACUGUGCUGCUGGCAACCACUACAUUUUUUUUCUUUUUUGCUGUUUACUGACAGCGGUGUUGCUCGUCAACGGGUGUUGCUCGUUCGUAUAUUCAUCAGUUAUUCUGCACUCUGGCACACUCAGAAGGGAGUGCUCUGAAAUCGGAGUAGAUAGUGUGAAUUUACGAACGCACUCAGUGAGACAAAAAAAAUUGUUAUCUGCCCCUUUAAAAACUUCUUAUGGCGGCAAUCCCGUUAACGGGAUCAUUUUCAUCAACAACCGCUGAAUUGCAUAGCGCCACAUUCAAAUAAUAUUACUAAAAAUAAUUAUAUUCAUAAAAUCACAAGUGAGAUAUAGCAAAACACAGCUUAGCCUUUUGUUAAUCCACCUGUCGUUUCAGAUUUUGAAAAUAUGUUUUACAGCGAAAGCAAUCCAAGCUUUUGUGUAAGUUUAUCGGCCGCUCGACAAAACAUUAUGAACACCUAGCAUCAAGUAGCUUGGUCACAAAAAUCAGAAAAGCAAUAAAAAUUAAUCGUUUACCUUUGAUGAUCUUUGUAUGUUUUCACUCACGAGACUCCCAGUUACACAAUAAAUGUUCCUUUUGUUCCAUAAAGAUUAUUUUUAUAUCCAAAAUACCUCCGUUUUUUGGCGCGUUAUGUUCUGAAAUCCACAGGAAAGAGCGGUCACGACAAUGCAGACAAAUUCCAAAUAGUAUCCGUAAUGUCCACAGAAACAUGCAACAUUUUUAUAAUCAUCCUCAGGUUGUUUUUAAAAUAUAUAAUCGAUAAUAUACAGUGCCUUGCGAAAGUAUUCGGCCCCCUUGAACUUUGCGACCUUUUGCUACAUUUCAGGCUUUAAACAUAAAGAUAUAAAACUGUAUUUUUUUGUGAAGAAUCAACAACAAGUGGGACACAAUCAUGAAGUGGAACGACAUUUAUUGGAUAUUUCAAACUUUUUUAACAAAUCAAAAACUGAAAAAUUGGGCGUGCAAAAUUAUUCAGCCCCCUUAAGUUAAUACUUUGUAGCGCCACCUUUUGCUGCGAUUACAGCUGUAAGUCGCUUGGGGUAUGUCUCUAUCAGUUUUGCACAUCGAGAGACUGAAAUUUUUUCCCAUUCCUCCUUGCAAAACAGCUCGAACUCAGUGAGGUUGGAUGGAGAGCAUUUGUGAACAGCAGUUUUCAGUUCUUUCCACAGAUUCUCGAUUGGAUUCAGGUCUGGACUUUGACUUGGCCAUUCUAACACCUGGAUAUGUUUAUUUUUGAACCAUUCCAUUGUAGAUUUUGCUUUAUGUUUUGGAUCAUUGUCUUGUUGAAGACAAAUCUCCGUCCCAGUCUCAGGUCUUUUGCAGACUCCAUCAGGUUUUCUUCCAGAAUGGUCCUGUAUUUGGCUCCAUCCAUCUUCCCAUCAAUUUUAACCAUCUUCCCUGUCCCUGCUGAAGAAAAGCAGGCCCAAACCAUGAUGCUGCCACCACCAUGUUUGACAGUGGGGAUGGUGUGUUCAGUGUGAUGAGCUGUGUUGCUUUUACACCAAACAUAACGUUUUGCAUUGUUGCCAAAAAGUUCAAUUUUGGUUUCAUCUGACCAGAGCACCUUCUUCCACAUGUUUGGUGUGUCUCCCAGGUGGCUUGUGGCAAACUUUAAACAACACUUUUUAUGGAUAUCUUUAAGAAAUGGCUUUCUUCUUGCCACUCUUCCAUAAAGGCCAGAUUUGUGCAAUAUACAGUGCCUUGCGAAAGUAUUCGGCCCCCUUGAACUUUGCGACCUUUUGCCACAUUUCAGGCUUCAAACAUAAAGAUAUAAAACUGUAUUUUUUUGUGAAGAAUCAACAACAAGUGGGACACAAUCAUGAAGUGGAACGACAUUUAUUGGAUAUUUCAAACUUUUUUAACAAAUCAAAAACUGAAAAAUUGGGCGUGCAAAAU